AAAAGAUCUAUCUUUAGAGAUCAUAGGGUUUGGAGUAUGGUUUAUUUGGUAGCUGGCAGUAUUCGUUAAUGUCUUCUACCGCAUCAAGGAGUCAUUAUGGUAGGAAAUAGAAUAUUAGGAGAGAGGAAAAGAUGGCGGAGGAGUAGGGGGUCACGCUCACCCUCUCCCACAAACACAACAAAAAAAGCACAUCUACAGAAUAAAUGACUCGCACAGAACAGUAACCAAUCGCUGGCAGAGGAACCUAAACUCCAAUAACGGCAAGAAGUUCGUGACAUUAUUGGGCGGAACGGGAGAAAAGAGGAGAGUGAGAGAAGGUGAAUCCGAGCGGGACGGGCGCUCCCGAAAGGGAACUGCGGAGGAGAAAGGGAUCCCGCACCCUGGAAAGUCACCUACCGGGCGAAAGAUCAAACGAACCGGAGGAAUCCCCAGAUGCAGAGAAGAGUGUAGCAGUAAGUCGGAGUACGGGAAAACCGAUCAAGAACCCAACGGACCAUCUGAACUACGGGCACAGUCACCAAAAAUUGAGACGCCUGGGUGGGGGCUGGGCACCGAAUCCUCGGCUCCAGAGGUUAGUCCCCGGGAAAGGGCCGGGGGACGCCUGGGUGGGGGCUGGGCACCGAGACCUCGCCGCCGAAGGUUAAUUCCUGAGAAAGGGCCGGGGGACGCCUGGGAGGGGGGCUGGGCACCGAGACCUCGCCGCAGAAGGUUAGUCCCCGAGAAAGGGCCGGGGGGCGCCGCCUGGGUGGGGGCUGGGCACCGAGACCUCGGCUCCAGAGAUUAGUCCCCGGGCUAGGGGGGCGGGGCAGAGCGGAAACUGCUUGGGAGGUCUAGAAACCAGUUGACGGGGCAGAGACUGCCUGGGAGACUAGAAAACAAAGCUGUCGCAGAGGAAGGGAGCAAUACUCCAGGAGUGGGGAAGGGGAAAGCCACAUCAGAGGGAACCUGGGAGAAGAGCCUGGUCUGCGCCCGUGCUGGGGAGGGGAGAGAAGAAGGGGUGGGUCCCCAUAGAAUACCCCCCACGCCACAGCAAGCUUACAGGCCCGCUAGCUAGCUGAAAACUGUGCUUCCCAGUGCAUCCCCUCCCCCCACCCCCGCCACGCCCUACGCUCUCACGGACCUGGGGCUGCCUGCCAUCCAGGAGGGCUGGCCUCAACAAUUGCCUGAAGCCUACCACCGCAGGGGCUGUCCCUGCACAGGCCUGCUUGCCCUUUGGAGGGGCUACACUUCCGCAGAGCAGCACCAAACACCACCAGCCCCCGAGAAAAGGCCUGCAGCCCAGAAAAGCUAGAACAAGCUUAGCCAGGCUGUGAAUAGAUCGGCCUAAUUCUCGGACGGUUUUUCUGAGUCGGGUUGCCCCGGGGAGGAGCCUCUUGGGUUUCCAACGGCCCUGCUACCCGCCCAAGCCCCCAGGGGAUGCUCUAGUGGACCAGCUGCAUAGGACUGCCAGCUCCAGGCAGGACCCCCUGCAGCCCAGAAAAGCUGCAACAAGCCUGGCCGAGUCAGACGGUUUUUCUGAGUUGGGCUGCCCUGGGGAGGAGCCUCUUGGGUCUCCAACGGCUCUGCUACCCACCCAAGCCCCCAGAGGGUACCCCACUCACGUGAAAUAACUGCUCAGCACCACCAGCCCCCUAGAAGAGCCCCUGCAGCCCAGGAAAGCUGCAACAAGCUCGGCCAGACUGUGAAAAGAUCCGCCUACAUUCUCAGGCUGUCCUUCUGAGUUGGGCUGCGCUAGGGAAGAGCCUCUUCGGUUCUCAGUGACCCAGAUAGCUACUCCAGCCCCC
rnacentral:lncRNA from 1 species